rnacentral:rRNA from 1 species
CGAACGGGUGAGUAACGCGUAGGUAACCUGCCUGGUAGCGGGGGAUAACUAUUGGAAACGAUAGCUAAUACCGCAUAAAAUUGAUUAUUGCAUGAUAGUCAAUUGAAAGGUGCAACUGCACCACUACCAGAUGGACCUGCGUUGUAUUAGCUAGUUGGUGGGGUAACGGCUCACCAAGGCGACGAUACAUAGCCGACCUGAGAGGGUGAUCGGCCACACUGGGACUGAGACACGGCCCAGACUCCUACGGGAGGCAGCAGUAGGGAAUCUUCGGCAAUGGACGGAAGUCUGACCGAGCAACGCCGCGUGAGUGAAGAAGGUUUUCGGAUCGUAAAGCUCUGUUGUAAGAGGAGAACGAGUGUGAGAGUGGAAAGUUCACACU